CCUACGGGGGGCAGCAGUGGGGAAUAUUGGACAAUGGGGGGAACCCUGAUCCAGCCAUGCCGCGUGUGUGAAGAAGGCCCUCGGGUUGUAAAGCACUUUCAGUGAGGAAGAACGCCUGGUGGUUAAUACCCAUCAGGAAAGACAUCACUCACAGAAGAAGCACCGGCUAACUCCGUGCCAGCAGCCGCGGUAAUACGGAGGGUGCGAGCGUUAAUCGGAAUUACUGGGCGUAAAGCGCGCGUAGGUGGCUUGAUAAGCCGGUUGUGAAAGCCCCGGGCUCAACCUGGGAACGGCAUCCGGAACUGUCAAGCUAGAGUGCAGGAGAGGAAGGUAGAAUUCCCGGUGUAGCGGUGAAAUGCGUAGAGAUCGGGAGGAAUACCAGUGGCGAAGGCGGCCUUCUGGACUGACACUGACACUGAGGUGCGAAAGCGUGCGUAGCAAACAGGAUUAGAUACCCGAGUAGUC
rnacentral:rRNA from 1 species